rnacentral:rRNA from 1 species
GCUAUCGGAUUGAUACUAAGCCAUGCGAGUCAUUGCAGUAAUGCAAGGCAGACGGCUCAGUAACGCGUAGUCAACCUACCCUAUGGACGGGAAUAACCUCGGGAAACUGAGUAUAAUGCCCGAUAGAACACUAUUCCUGGAAUGGUUUGUGUUCCAAAUGAUUUAUCGCCGUAGGAUGGGACUGCGGCCUAUCAGUUUGUUGGUGAGGUAAUGGCCCACCAAGACUAUUACAGGUACGGGCUCUGAGAGGAGUAGCCCGGAGAUGGGUACUGAGACACGGACCCAGGCCCUAUGGGGCGCAGCAGGCGAGAAAACUUUGCAAUGUGCGAAAGCACGACAAGGUUAAUCCGAGUGGUUUGUGCUAAACGAACCUUUUGACAGUCCUAGAAACACUGUUGAAUAAGGGGUGGGCAAGUUCUGGUGUCAGCCGCCGCGGUAAAACCAGCACCUCAAGUGGUCAGGAUGAUUAUUGGGCCUAAAGCAUCCGUAGCCGGCUCUGUAAGUUUUCGGUUAAAUCUGUACGCUCAACGUACAGGCUGCCGGGAAUACUGCAGAGCUAGGGAGUGGGAGAGGUAGACGGUACUCGGUAGGAAGGGGUAAAAUCCUUUGAUCUAUUGAUGACCACCUGUGGCGAAGGCGGUCUACCAGAACACGUCCGACGGUGAGGGAUGAAAGCUGGGGGAGCAAACCGGAUUAGAUACCCGGGUAGUCCCAGCUGUAAACUAUGCAAACUCAGUGAUGCAUUGGCUUGUGGCCAAUGCAGUGCUGCAGGGAAGCCGUUAAGUUUGCCGCCUGGGAAGUACGUACGCAAGUAUGAAACUUAAAGGAAUUGGCGGGGGAGCACCAC